AACUGAUACUACCUGCGGGAACCUGCGGAAGGAUCAUUACCGAGUUUUCAACUCCCAAACCCCAUGUGAACUUAUACCAUUUACACCGUUGCUUCGGCGGGUUCUCGCCCCGGGCUUUACAACCCCGGAACCAGGCGGCCCGCCGGGGGACCCAAACUCUAGAUUUUAUUUUAGCAUGUCUGAGUGGAAUCAUUACAAAAUGAAUCAAAACUUUCAGCAACGGAUCUCUAGAUCGGAAGA
rnacentral:misc_RNA from 1 species